CGAAAGCGUGGGGAGCAAACAGGAUUAGAUACCCUGGUAGUCCACGCUGUAAACGAUGUCAACUAGCUGUUGGUUAUAUGAAAAUAAUUAGUGGCGCAGCAAACGCGAUAAGUUGACCGCCUGGGGAGUACGGUCGCAAG
rnacentral:rRNA from 1 species